CUCAGGCUAAAAUGAGCCACGGGAUAGGCAGAGAUCAAAGGAAUGGAGAUUACCCAGCGCCUGUGAAGUAAUUCACACCUUGGUGUCUUCAGGCAACAUUAUAAUGCAGGAACCGGCUUCCUACACCUAGGAAUGGAAUUGUUGGGUCAUAUGGCACAUCUAUUUAUCAUUUUAAGGAAUAACUACUGGCAACAACAUUUUAAAUUUCUGCCCUCAUUUAGUUAAGCAGUGUUUAUACUCUUAAAGGUUUUUUUCUUUUUUUCUUUUUUUUUUUUUUGUGUGUACGUGUGUUCCUGUAUGAGUUUAUGAUACCAUGUUACCUGCAGUAGCCAAAAGAGGGAGUUGGAUCUGCUGGUACUGGAAUUAUAGCCAGUUGUAAGCCACCUAAAGUGGGUCCUGGGAUUCAAACCCAUGUUCUCUACAAGAGCAAGUGUUUUUAACCUCUGAGCCAUCUCUCCAGCUCCUGUUUUGGACUCUUGAUAACAUCUUACCUUUGUUAAUUUCUCUCCAGUUGGUGCACCUCCAGGUACACCACAUGCGUGAAGCUGCAGGUGGUAAAUCAUCUUCUGGUUGCUGAGAAUUGAACCUGAGUCCUCUGGAAAAUCUGCCAACGCUGUUCCCUGCUGAGCCAUGUCUCCAGCCUAGGAUGGUUAGUCUUGAUUGUCAGUUUGCUUGGUUCUGAAAUCAACUGAAAGACACCUCUGAGCAGAUCUGUGAGAACAUUUCCAGAAGAGUUAACUGAGGGGAGAAGACUUCCCUAGACUGAGUGGCACUUUCCACAGAGCUCAGAAGUAAAGAGGUCCAAGGAAAGGCUUGCUGGAGUGCGUUUAUUUCCAUUGUCACUGCUGCCACCACUUUUCCCUGACAUUCAAAGAUUCUCUGGGGAUUUCUGAGGCUUUCAGUGUCAUAUUGAGACUGUUGAGGAACUAGACUCAUGGACUGAACAGCUACGAGGUUCUCCAAUGUUUUCAGUGUAUAGACAACAAUCUUUGGAUGACAAGCUUUAUUUCGUAAAUGAAUUAAAUAAAUCCCCUUAGCACUGUAGGUCCUGUUUCUCAGGAAAACCCUGCCUAGUUAACUGGAUCUCUUUGUUCCUAUUUCUAGUAUCCACACAGAAUAAAUCUUUCUCUGUUUUGCACUA